rnacentral:rRNA from 1 species
AUACGGAGGGUGCGAGCGUUAAUCGGAAUUACUGGGCGUAAAGCGUGCGUAGGCGGUUUGCUAAGUCAGAUGUGAAAGCCCCGGGCUUAACCUGGGAACUGCAUUUGAUACUGGCAGACUAGAGUAUGAUAGAGGGGGGUAGAAUUCCUGGUGUAGCGGUGAAAUGCGUAGAUAUCAGGAGGAAUACCAGUGGCGAAGGCGGCCCCCUGGAUCAAUACUGACGCUGAGGUACGAAAGCGUGGGGAGCGAACAGGAUUAGAAACCCCAGUAGUCC